GAGAAGCGAGAGAAAUGGAAAGAUAUUACACAAUUUAGAAUGGUGCCUUCUUGUGCUAUUAUAUACUCUAAUUUCUAACAUUCUUAGGCAUUGCUACUUGUACUUUGAGCUUUAAAAUUUGUUUGGUGGUUUCUAAGAAACCAUGGGUGGGUUUCUUUCCACCUGUUCAACCCGAAAAUGGAUUGGAACCCUAAGUAGGCUACGUGUUCAUCUUCAGAUCAUCAAGACUAAGUCUUGCGGUGAAGUAAACAAAUUAAAGAGAAAAGGAAGGCUGGUAAGGGUGGAUCGAGAACAGAGACCGGUAUUUCCGUCGUGGAAGCUUCUUAAGCCCUAAUCUAUGACAGGGGAGGUUGACCGGCGAUGGCCGUUCACUAGGGUUCCUCGUACUCCGACAACUCAACCAGAAACGGUGAUGAUUGUAGAGAUUCCGACGGUGGUUCACAUAAGAUGGAAUCAGUUACAACCGCAAUUGGCUUCUAGAAACAGUUUGCUUAUGAUUCUCACAAAAAUUUCCACGGGACUCUCCCAAAGUUCAAACUCAUCUCAAACACGUGCAUCUAUAUAGCCAUGUUUAUGAUUUUUGCGUUUUUCUUUGGGGAAAUAUAAAUUGUUUAUGUGCUUUUGGUUGUGUAAUUGAUGUUUUUCCUUAGUGUAGAUACUCUCAAAUUGAUUGAUACGUAUAUAGUGUUUUGGUGCUAGGGUUACUGGUUAUUAUGAAUUUGUUAGUGUUUGAUAUGUAAGUUUAUGAUAUGAUAUUUUUGUUUAAGUUGUAAUUGAUAUUGUGGAGGAAUCUGUUAACAAUUAUAAUCUAGAGCUCUACAUAAGAAUAUGAAUUGACUAUUCCUGUUUGACAUAAGCUUUUAUAUUAUGUUUACCAGAUCAAUCACACGCAGUGAAUACAUGUACGAUUCGCUGAUGAAUCGAAAAGGAUAUCUUAUUGUUCAUUAUCUUUUCAUUGUCUUUAUUAUUUAACUUGGAUAUUGAACACAAGUUUUAUUUUGUUGUCUUUAGUAACCGGCGGCUCUAAAUUUACCACGAAAACGAUCUGCAGCGGGGAAGGCCUUUAAUGACGAACCUAAGACGAAUGAUUCAAUUAUUCCUUCUGCUGCCAUUCUGUUUGUUUCUGGGGAUUUGUGGUCGGAAUCCAUAAAGACCAUCGUUACCGUGGCACAUACUCCUGCCAUUACACCUUCUCUCCCUACGUUAGAUAAUUUUUCAAUUGCUUACUUUGGCCGCCUGACGCCUCUUGAAUGUAAACCCUAAUUUUGUGGGAUGGAUCACGUUACACACGUAGUUGGUUUUUUCUCGGUUAGCGGCGGUAAAUGGUGGUGGUUUGGUGAUGGUAGCCGCCUCUGGCUACACAAAAUGAUCAGAUCCACUGACGGAACUGGAGGCGGUGAUGGUGAAUACUGUUUCAGACAGUGGCGGUUUCGGCCGAGGUGGCUUCCUUUGACGAUGAAGAUGACUGACAGCCGAGAACCACUAGAAGAUGUGUACUGUACUUUGUAGGUUUGGUCUUCUUAUUGGAUAGUGUGGGUAUGCAAUGAUGACACGACUGAUAUGGAGCAAGUGGAAGUUGAAAACCAUAGGGCACACCAAGACAUGAAAGUGAAAUGGCAAUUUGGGGUAAGAAUGGCACAUAUCAAGAGCUAUUAGAAAGAUCCGAAUGAGCAGAUGGAGAAUGGUUAUAAAACUAUUGGUUGCAUAUGUUCACUGUUGCAUAGGAUUAAAGGAGUACUGAGAAAGCUGCCUGCAUCAGAUCGUACUAAGCUGCAAACAAGGUUUUCUGGUUUGUGUCUAGAGGCUGACCCCUUCAUGGACGAUAUGAUGGAUCGUAUGAAGGAUCAAUGUGAUAAGAAACCGAGACAUUUAAAUGUCUACUUUCAUUAACUUGCUACAACGUUACAGCCGACUUCUUGACAAAUUGCUCCAUCUCCUUUUGGGACGCUGAAGUUUAUAUUUCUUGUGCUUAUGGAUUUGAUGGUUCAAGAAUAUGUUUAUUUUGUACUUAGAAUGUCUUUGUCGUGUAAUAUCGCCAAGUAUGUUGAAAGGCUUAAAUGAUUUUUGUAAUUAUGUUUACAUUUCACGCUCCAGACUUUGCGUUAAAUUUUCAACACCUUGAUUCAGCAUGGUUUCAUUGGAACCACUUUUUUUUUGUC